UACGAAGGGGGCUAGCGUUGUUCGGAAUUAUUGGGCGUAAAGAGCUCGUAGGCGGUGUGUCACGUCGGCCGUGAAAACCUGGGGCUUAACUCUGGGCGUGCGGUCGAUACGGGCAUCACUGGAGUUCGGCAGGGGAGACUGGAAUUCCUGGUGUAGCGGUGAAAUGCGCAGAUAUCAGGAGGAACACCGGUGGCGAAGGCGGGUCUCUGGGCCGAUACUGACGCUGAGGAGCGAAAGCAUGGGGAGCGAACAGG
rnacentral:rRNA from 1 species